rnacentral:rRNA from 1 species
UACGGGGGGAGCAAGCGUUGCUCGGAAUCACUGGGCGUAAAGGGUGCGUAGGCGGGUCUUUAAGUCAGGGGUGAAAUCCUGGAGCUCAACUCCAGAACUGCCUUUGAUACUGAGGAUCUUGAGUACGGGAGAGGUGAGUGGAACUGCGAGUGUAGAGGUGAAAUUCGUAGAUAUUCGCAAGAACACCAGUGGCGAAGGCGGCUCACUGGCCCGUAACUGACGCUGAGGCACGAAAGCGUGGGGAGCAAACAGG